UACGUAGGGGGCGAGCGUUGUCCGGAUUUAUUGGGCGUAAAGGGCUCGUAGGCGGCCAACUAAGUCAGACGUGAAAUCCCUCGGCUUAACCGGGGAACUGCGUCUGAUACUGGAUGGCUUGAAUCCGGGAGAGGGAUGCGGAAUUCCUGGUGUAGCGGUGAAAUGCGCAGAUAUCAGGAGGAACACCGAUGGCGAAGGCAGGUCUCUGGGCAUUAACUGACGCUGAGGAGCGAAAGCGUGGGGAGCGAACAGG
rnacentral:rRNA from 1 species